GGGGCUAUAGCUCAGCUGGGAGAGCACCUGACUUGCACGCAGGAGGUCUGCGGUUCGAUCCCGCAUAGCUCCACCA
rnacentral:tRNA from 1 species